UGCGGAAACAAACCUUCAAAUCUUACAACAGAAUUUUUUUUUUCACUCAUGAAAAGUCCAUGUGGAUUUGGGCAAACUUCCCAGGGCAGCUCUCGUGCAUAUAUGGCCGAGAGUUCAGGCUGCUUCAGCAUCAUGGCACCUACAAUAUCGAUACUGGGUUCCCUCAUCACUGUAGCAGGAGAAGAAAGCCAGGUACACAGUCAUGUACUGGCUUUCAAGUCACUUUUGCUUACGUUUCGUUGUCCAAAGCAAGUGUCAUAGUCCUAUCUUCACUUCAAGGGUAUGCAGUCAUCCCAGGUGCCUGGAAGGAGAGAAGAAAUGGAAAGCAUGGAUGAACAGCACUAAUGGCUAACACAGGUAGAUAGGGGCCAAUUAUAGCACAUUAUUAGAUUUCAUUCUGCAUACAAUAAGUAGUCAUUAAGAGAUGUACGCAUGAGACUAAAAUGAUUUAAUCUGCAGUUUAACCAGAUUACUUGGGUUGUUCUACAGAGAAUGAGUUGAGGGUCACAUUAAAAGGCAAUGGCCGGAAACGGCCAGGACAAGUUCGGUGGGAGAGAUGCUAUCAGCUCAAGCAAGAGUGGGAGCUGAAGAGACGGGGAAGAAGUGAAUACAUCUGACGUAUAUUUUGGAGAUAAAGUCAUUAGGAUUUACUGAAGGAAGAUUACAACAAGGGGUCCUGAGUUGGGGAUGUUCGUGAGGCACACAAAUGAAGAUAUCAAAUAGGCCGGUGGAUAAUUGAGACCAAAGUUCUGGACUGGACAUGAAUUUAAGGGACACUAGUAUGUGGAGGCACUGAAAAAAUGAGCAAAGGUGAGCUCACCUAUGCAGAGUGUCGAGAGAAGACAGGGUCCAGAAUUAAGUCCUGAAAAUGCACAGUUUACUUGGUUGAAAAAUCUCUAAGGAUUUUUCCAAUCCUUCCUUAGAAGAGGUGGGGCAGAGGGAGGAGGGGGCAGUUGAAGGACACCGCAGAGCAGAAUCCUGACUGGGGACAGAAGGAGAGCCAGGGUGGUGGGGAGUCACAGACCUUCAGAGGCUGGACGUGGCACAGGUCACCCUCCUGACUGCAAACCUUCCACAAAUCCCCAUUUUCUAGAUCCACAUUCCUCAGUCUGGAGUUGCUUUUCCUUGAGCAUGGGUUAGAAGGCCAGAGUCCAAGAGGCGAUGCCUGCGUGGGAAACCUUUUCAGCCAAGAACAGGCCAGGUCAGUGUCCACAAGUUCAGGUCUGAGCCGACUGCCCACCGCCAAGGCUGAUCGGACAGAGCACCCUUGUACCCGAGGCCUGGCCUUCCCUGGGCCCGAGUUGUUCUCGUGCUGAGGAUCUAGUGUUCCCCUGGAAGAGCUUGAAGGAAGAGAGGGAAAGGGCAGGGCCGGUUUGGGAUCCUUCCUCCUCCCACAAGGCCGCUUCUGCCAAGAGCAUUAGACCAGAACCAUCCCUCUAUUGCUCGGUCACACUCACACUUCCACCAGCCCAUGGGCUGGCACACCUGCUCGGCUAGUCUGGGCCGUCAUACCAGCCACAACCGAUUUUCUCUCUCCCGUGCUGGGCAGGACUGGAGCUAACCUCUUCCCCCACUCUCCACAGUGCUAGCAGAGGAAGGCUCUCAUGAACUAGGGACCACCCAGCUCACAACAGAUGGCCCUGCAUCAGGCCUCCCAGCCUUCCCACCACAGUGAGGACCCCUCCCCUCCCCAGCCCAGCCCAGCCUGCCACCACGUGGCUGCUGGUGAUGGCCUUCAGUCCUCGGGCUCCAGUCUCAGCACUGCCAUUAGGAGACAUGACCUUGGCUGGGUUCCCGAACUCUCUGAGCCACACGAGUCCCAGUUACAACAUGAGGCCACAAUAGCCCCUGUGGGCAAGAGCAGGGACAGGAAGAGGCCUUGGCAUUAGCUGGCAAUUCCGCCAUCCCCACUAGGGGCAGCCUCCCUGCAUGCCACCUCAGCCAGGAUUCCCUAACUUUCCAUCCCAGUUCUUGCCUCUGGCUCAAGUCAGAUCCCACAGACCUCCCUCCCCACCCCAGCACAGCCUGGAAGCAAAUACCUUUAAGGCCAGCAGAUCAGGGUGGGGGGGUGGGGGAGGAGGAGCAUGGUCCCCUUGUCACACAGCCCUCCCCCAUUCAGAGGGUACAGCCUUUUGGCACCAGGGUGGAAGGCAGAGAGAGAGCACAGAUGGCUCUUUAUGUGAUAGGUUGUGGUGUCUUUUGAGUCUCUCUUCCCUUGGUUGUCUACACUGACCUAGCUCAUGGUCUGUGGGCUUCGUGUGGACAGGUGGUGGCCCCCACAGGCUCGUGCAGACAAGGAGCUCCAUUCCCUAGCUCCAGCCCUCCCACCCGCUAUGCAUCAGAGGUCUACCUCUCUUGACUGGGCGCCUGGGUCUCAUCUACUCUCUGCUGGCCCAGCUGGGGCCUGUGCACACGAACAGGAGCCAUUUCUGCACCUGCUUGUUGCCAUCACCUUUGCUAGAGAAGGUGGUCUAACUUAAGCAAACCAACUCCAAGCCUGUAACGCCUCUAGGUUACAAAAUUGAAACCUAAGGACAACCAGUCGCAAACAGCCAACUAGGCGUUGGGCUAUAGCCAAUCAAUCAUUCCUUACUCUAGUUCCCUGGCUGCUGUAUCCAAAUCUCUCCCUGAGCUUCUGCUGGUGGAGCACCCCUCACCACUUUCAAUUGGGGGCUGCCUGAGCAGAAUAGAUUUUUGCUCAAAUAAACUCUUUGAGUGUUUACCAUGCCUCAGUUUAUCUUUUAACACUAUGUGAAACUGCUCCUGUCUGAUCCCUUCCCUUCGUUUAUUUCUACAUCAUCAUAGCUAGGAAAUCCUCUUGAAACAUUUUUGUCUUGAAACUACUGGUGGCGAGAUUGGUGCUCCUGUCUGGAGGCCAGAGAGAACCCUAUGACUUUCUAAAUACUGCUUCUUAAAACCUAACCCUUCCCCAGCCGCUGAUGCACUGGGUAUCCCUACUUUGCACUAAUAUUCCUUUAGGUCACUUCCUUGCUGUUUAGAAAGACCCACCUGACCCACCGUCAACAUUUUCUGUCUGCACAUAAAUUCCUGAAGUUUUUUUUUUUUAAUUCCUGCUGCAAUUAUGUUUCGUCCACAGCUAAUGAACGAUUCGCUUCCUGGAAACAGUAUUCAAGUGACUAAACUUUUCAUUUUCAUUUUAUUUCUUGGCUCUGGGCUCGUGGCAGUUCCGUGAAGUUUUCCCCCUUCACUGCCACCCAGAAAGACAAUACAACCACAAUUACGAACCCUUUUAUCUCCCUUCCUGUUGUCUGUUCAUUGAUGAAUCUACCACCUGGCUGAGGUUUUUGUUGUUGUUUUCUUUUUGGUUUAUUUUGUUUUGCUUUGCUUUGUUUUUAUUUUUCCAGCUACUUUAAUUAUAAAAGUCUUUUAUGUUCUCCAAAAAGAAAAAGAAAAAAAACCCCAGAAGGUAGCAGUCUAGUACAAAGAUAUACAAUUGGAAGACGUUACCACCAACUAGAUCUGACAAUAACUCAUACUGAAGACGCUGAAAAUAAAAGCAAAUUAAAACAAAGUACUAAGCCAGGGGUCUUAUUUAAUCAGGGAUGUUCACCACCUAGAACUCUUCCAAAUAAUACAGUGCUUGGUUACUCUAAAAAACAGAACCAAUGAGCCUGGAAUCAGGCUGUGCAUAUUUUGAAAAACUUCUAUGAUCAACACCAUUCCUGAUAAAGAAGCACUGUAUUAAUAUGAACCAUGUUAGCUCUAAACCAGGACUUCUCAUCCAGAUAUACCUAACCCUUCCCCAGCCUGGCUGUUUUUAUCCAUCCCCGAAUUCCCCAAGCUCAGGAUCACAACCAAGGCUUGGCAGCAUGCCAACCUCUCAGCCUUGGCCAAGAAAUGGAAGAAGGAGGGGAACGGUGGUGGUAAACACCUCGUCCUCUGCCAACCCACACUCUCCACGUGUUAUUAAGGAAAGCCUGAUCUGGCCCUCAGGAUCAGUAGGAGAUCUAGGUCAGCGAAUAACCUCCCGAUGCAGGAGCAGCUCUGCUCACAAGAAAUGCAGAGCUCUCCUGGUGGGAGGGACUGGAGACAGCUUGUCCAGACUCCUGCCCCAGCCAUGGGUCUCCACCCCCUGCCAGUCUCAGAUUCCACUUGCCAGAUUCUCCCCCAACACCAGACACUCGCUUUCCUUUUAAGGUUCUGCCCAUGGCACUUGUGGCUACAUUCACAACCUGAGGACUAGGAGCGAUCGUCUCCCAAAACCCAAGCUCCUCUCUGCUGAGCUCUACCACGUGCUGACAAAAUCAAUGGGAAGACCCCUGACCAGCCACGGACCACCGCCAGUCUCCAAAGGGUGUGUGUGUGUGUGCAAAGGAGACUCAGAACAAGCGCU
rnacentral:lncRNA from 1 species